rnacentral:rRNA from 1 species
GUCUACGGCCAUACCACCCUGAACGCGCCCGAGCUCGUUUGAUCUCGGAAGCUAAGCAGGUCGGGCUGGUUUGGUUAGUACUGGAAUGGGAGACCGCCUGGGAAACCGGGUGCUGUAGGCU